rnacentral:rRNA from 1 species
CGAGUCUGCCUUGAAGAUCGGAGCGCUUGCACUCUGUGAAACAAGAUACAGGCUAGCGGCGGACGGGUGAGUAACACGUGGGUAACCUGCCCAAGAGAUCGGGAUAACACCUGGAAACAGAUGCUAAUACCGGAUAACAACAGAUGAUGCCUAUCAACUGUUUAAAAGAUGGUUCUGCUAUCACUCUUGGAUGGACCUGCGGUGCAUUAGCUAGUUGGUAGGGUAACGGCCUACCAAGGCGAUGAUGCAUAGCCGAGUUGAGAGACUGAUCGGCCACAUUGGGACUGAGACAUGGCCCAAACUCCUACGGGAGGCAGCAGUAGGGAAUCUUCCACAAUGGACGCAAGUCUGAUGGAGCAACGCCGCGUGAGUGAAGAAGGGUUUCGGCUCGUAAAGCUCUGUUGUUGGUGAA